rnacentral:rRNA from 1 species
UACGUAGGGGGCAAGCGUUGUCCGGAAUCAUUGGGCGUAAAGCGCGUGUAGGCGGUUACGUAAGUCUGCUGUGAAAGUCGGAGGCUCAACCUUCGAAAGCCGGUGGAUACUGCGUGACUAGAGUACGGAAGAGGAGAGUGGAAUUCCUGGUGUAGCGGUGAAAUGCGCAGAUAUCAGGAAGAACACCCGUGGCGAAGGCGGCUCUCUGGGACGGUACUGACGCUGAGACGCGAAAGCGUGGGGAGCGAACAGG